UACGUGAGGGGCGAACGUUGUUCGGUGUCACUGGGCUUAAAGGGUGCGUAGGUGGCUGCGUAAGUAACGUGUGAAAGCCCUCGGCUUACCCGGGGAAUUGCGCGUUAUACUGCGCGGCUUGAGGAUUUCAGGGGAAAGGGGAACUCCGAGUGUAGCGGUGAAAUGCGCAGAUAUUCGGGGGAAGGCCGGCGGCGAAGGCGCCUUUCUGGGAAAUUCCUGACACUGAGGCACGAAAGCGUGGGGAGCAAACAGG
rnacentral:rRNA from 1 species